CAGCAGGUCGCACAGUGAUUAGAGCUGCCGCUUUUGAACUACGCGGUUGCAGGUUCAAAUCCUACCUCCUGCUGU
rnacentral:tRNA from 1 species